CUACCGAAGAGCUCGAAUAACCUGCCGAAAGGGCGGGCUAAUACGGGAUAGAGCGACGGGAUCCGUAAUUGGGUCUUUCGGGAAAGGGAGGCAGCAAUGCCCUUCGCUCUUCGAUGAGCCUGCGUCUCAUUAGCUAGUUGGUAGGGUAACGGCCUACCAAGGCGAUGAUGGGUAGCUGGUCUGAGAGGAUGAUCAGCCACACUGGAACUGAAACACGGUCCAG
rnacentral:rRNA from 1 species